UACGUAGGUGGCAAGCGUUGUUCGGAAUUACUGGGCGUAAAGGGCUCGUAGGCGGCCAACUAAGUCCGACGUGAAAUCCCCAGGCUUAACCUGGGAACUGCGUCGGAUACUGGAUGGCUUGAAUCCGGGAGAGGGAUGCGGAAUUCCAGGUGUAGCGGUGAAAUGCGUAGAUAUCUGGAGGAACACCGGUGGCGAAGGCGGCAUCCUGGACCGGCAUUGACGCUGAUGAGCGAAAGCCAGGGGAGCAAACGGGG
rnacentral:rRNA from 1 species